rnacentral:rRNA from 1 species
GAUGAACGCUGGCGGCGUGCCUAAUACAUGCCAGUCGAGCGAACGGACGAGAAGCUUGCUUCUCUGAUGUUAGCGGCGGACGGGUGAGUAACACGUGGAUAACCUACCUAUAAGACUGGGAUAACUUCGGGAAACCGGAGCUAAUACCGGAUAAUAUUUUGAACCGCAUGGUUCAAAAGUGAAAGACGGUCUUGCUGUCACUUAUAGAUGGAUCCGCGCUGCAUUAGCUAGUUGGUAAGGUAACGGCUUACCAAGGCAACGAUGCAUAGCCGACCUGAGAGGGUGAUCGGCCACACUGGAACUGAGACACGGACCAGACUCCUACGGGAGGCAGCAGUAGGGAAUCUUCCGCAAUGGGCGAAAGCCUGACGGAGCAACGCCGCGUGAGUGAUGAAGGUCUUCGGAUCGUAAAACUCUGUUAUUAGGGAAGAACAUAUGUGUAAGUAACUGUGCACAUCUUGACGGUACCUAAUCAGAAAGCCACGGCUAACUACGUG